UACGAAGGGGGGCUAGCGUUGCUCGGAAUCACUGGGCGUAAAGGGCGCGUAGGCGGCGUUUUAAGUCGGGGGUGAAAGCCUGUGGCUCAACCACAGAAUGGCCCUUCGAUACUGGGACGCUUGAGUAUGGUAGAGGUUGGUGGAACUGCGAGUGUAGAGGUGAAAAUUCGUAGAUAUUCGCAAGAACACCGGUGGCGAAGGCGGCCAACUGGACCAUUACUGACGCUGAGGCGCGAAAGCGUGGGGAGCAAACAGG
rnacentral:rRNA from 1 species